GCCGGGCGCAGUGGUGCACGCCUGUAAUCCCAGCCAUUUGGGAGGCUAAGACAGGAGAAUUGCAAGUUUGAGGCCAGCCUCAGCAACUUGGCAAGACCCUGUCUCAA
rnacentral:sRNA from 1 species